UUCCUUACCAGGCCCUUUCCUUCUAUCAAUAUGGCGGUAGAGAGGGACAUAUAAAACAACAAGCAGUGGAUGAAGGUGAUUCUGCGUAGCAGUAUUAUAGAUUGCUAAAUGGCUCCAAUGUAUGAAUCUGGAAUGCGAAUGGUCGCUAUCGGAUGGGUUGUGAUAGUCACAAGUGGAAUAUCCUCUUUUAUUUUCCUCAAGAGAUAUGUAGACAAAAAGAGACUUGAACUAAUCAAGGCAAAACAAAGAGAAAGAAUGCUGGAAGCACAAAAGGAAACCAAAGGAGAGUGAGAGGAAAGAGCAGUUUAAUGCCAAAGAAACACAGAAUGGAAAAUUGGGAACAAAAUCAACAAAGGUCUACUUUAUGGUUACAUGUCUGAAAUCCUGUGUGGGGUCACAGAAGUGUAACCAUGAGGUGGGCAUUUUCAAGUCAGCCAUCACUUCACUCUGUGUUAUUUACAUGCAGAGAAAACAGACUUUGUCCUUUAAAACCUUAAAGGGUGCGUGACCAACAUCCAAUUUCUCUUUACAGUUAAACUGCUGAAUCAUUCACCAACCAAAGAAGCAUAAAUUGUCAAACAAAUUCUCCUAGUCAGUAUGAAAGGAAAUGUAUUUGGAAACUGAUGUUAGGCAGAAAGGGUUAAUAAAAUUCAGUUUUAAAACCAACUAGGGAUUUUGGACAAACAGUGUUUAGCAAUGUAAGAGUAUUGGUAGAACUGAAGUUCACGCUUUAAACCCUUAGAGUGACUAACGUCUAAUUUCUUCUUACAGUAAUUCUGUUUAAUCAUGAGAAUAAAGGAAAAAUUACCAACCAAAGAAGCUUGCAGCUAAUUAGUGAGCAUAUAAAAGGGCCUCGUGUUGAAACGAUCAGAUCACCCCCAAUAGAGGCACCAGUCAGGAGUUUCGUAACAUUAGGCCAAUGAAUUAUAAUUUUGGUUACAUUCAUUAACUCUUUAAACCAGAGUAGCAUCAAACCAUGUCUGAUUGUCCUCUAGGUUGCUGUGUGAACUUCAAUAAAUCAAGCUUUGAUUGUUAAACAAAUUCUCCUUGUUAGUACCAAAGGAAAUGUUCAGAAAACAGUAUGGAGAAUACGGAUACCGAUCUUAGGGUGUGUAUGGUUAAUCAACAACUAAUUUACAUUAGGAGUGUAAUCUUCUAAGAAACAUUACUGUUAGAAGUUGUAGAGUGCAAGUACCUCCACUGAAUGGGUAAAACAAAAUUGUGGUUACAGGAAGUUUACACCUCCAAGGUUUUUAUUUCUUUAUUGUUUUAUUGUUUGUUUGUUUUUUUCUUGCAUUCAGGUGCAUUUCAAUUGUUUUGAGGGUGAAAGGGAGUUAGAAAUUCUCCUGCUGGUUUAAUAUGAAUUUCCCUCCCCCUUAGAUUUAUAACCAUAAUCCAAACCUGAAAAGAAAACACUUAGAUUUCAUUGCAAACUUUUAUGGCAAUAUUAAUAUUAGUCUUUUCUCCUUCUUUUUCCCUCUGAUUGGCUGUUGCAAUAAAACUGCAGCUCGUCAGAUAGUGUUACAUGUAAAUGGUAUUGAUUUGAAUAUAAAGCUGUGGUAUCCA